AUAAAUGAUUGAAGUGAACUAAUUAUUUUACAUAUUUGAUUAAUGACCCAAUACUAUUAAAAUACUGCCGUUUACUUAUAUAUUAACAGUUUUUCUAUUUAGUACAGUAACCUAUUUAACUGAUCACAUGAUUCACUACCAGAUGUUUAAUAAACUCUUAUAAAUAUUAAUUCUCAGUCUCAUGACCUGCAGCAAGAACAUAUUUUGGUUUUGUAUCCAAACAUAUUGUGUGUUGAUGCAGAAGAGAUGGUGAAGGAAAUCACACCGGGAUACUAUGAUGAUGUCAUCACUGUUGGACUGAAACCAGAUCGUGAGACAGAAGACACACCUGAGAGCUAUGAUGAUGUCAUGAAGAGCGGACAGAACACUAAUAUUAAAAAAGUGAACACGCAAGAGAAUUAUGAUGAUGUCAUCAUUAAUAUACCGAGCUCUCAAGGGGUAACAGAGGGAGUUCAGGAGAAGUAUGAUGAUGUCAUGAGUGUCAGUGAAGAUGUGACAAACCUGUUGGAUUAUGAUGAUGUGGAGGAGGAGUCAAACAAAGAAGGGGGACAUUUGGCUCAAUGAUCUCAUCCACUGCUUCGGUUCAACACAUCUGAACAAAGUUUGAGUUAUUGAUAUAUCGAUAUUGUUAUUGAUAUGUCAAAUCUCAGGUUUUUAUAUUUUUUCCCCAUUUUUUGUAUUAAAUCUGUUAUGCUUUUGUGGAUUUUGUAGGAUUUUUUGCCUUUUUAAAAGCAAUAAAAAGUAGGUUUUUGUAUAUCA
ensembl:lncRNA